rnacentral:rRNA from 1 species
AGUGAACGCUGGCGGUAGGCCUAACACAUGCAAGUCGAACGGCAGCACAGGAGAGCUUGCUCUCUGGGUGGCGAGUGGCGGACGGGUGAGGAAUACAUCGGAAUCUACUCUGUCGUGGGGGAUAACGUAGGGAAACUUACGCUAAUACCGCAUACGACCUACGGGUGAAAGUGGGGGACCGCAAGGCCUCACGCGAUAGAAUGAGCCGAUGUCGGAUUAGCUAGUUGGCGGGGUAAAGGCCCACCAAGGCGACGAUCCGUAGCUGGUCUGAGAGGAUGAUCAGCCACACUGGAACUGAGACACGGUCCAGACUCCUACGGGAGGCAGCAGUGGGGAAUAUUGGACAAUGGGCGCAAGCCUGAUCCAGCCAUACCGCGUGAGUGAAGAAGGCCCUCGGGUUGUAAAGCUCUUUUGUUGGGAAAGAAAUCCUGUUGGCUAAUACCCGGCAGGGAUGACGGACCCAAAGAAUAAGCC